AGCAGCCGCGGUAACACCGGCAGCUCUAGUGGUAACAAUUUUAUUGGGCCUAAAGCGUCCGUAGCCGGUUUAAUAAGUCUCUGGUGAAAUCCUGCAGCUUAACUGUGGGAAUUGCUGGAGAUACUAUUAGACUUGAGACCGGGAGAGGUUAGAGGUACUCCCAGGGUAGAGGUGAAAUUCUGUAAUCCUGGGAGGACCGCCUGUUGCGAAGGCGUCUAACUGGAACGGUUCUGACGGUGAGGGACGAAAGUUAGGGGCGCGAACCGGAUUAGAUACCCGGGUAGUCCUAACUGUAAACGAUGCGGACUUGGUGUUGGGGUGGCUUUGAGCUGCUUCAGUGCCGAAGGGAAGCUGUUAAGUCCGCCGCCUGGGAAGUACGGUCGCAAGACUGAAACUUAAGGAAUUGGCGGGGGAGCACCACAACGCGUGGAGCCUGCGGUUUAAUUGGAUUCAACGCCGGACAUCUCACCAGAGGCGACAGCUGUAUGAUAGCCAGGUUGAUGACUUUGCUUGACUAGCUGAGAGGUGGUGCAUGG
rnacentral:rRNA from 1 species